rnacentral:rRNA from 1 species
GAUGAACGCUGGCGGCGUGCUUGAUACAUGCAAGUCGAACGGAGAGUGUAGCAAUAUACUUUUAGUGGCGAACGGGUGAGUAACGCGUUGGUGACCUGCCCCGAAGCGAGGGAUAACAGUUCGAAAGAACUGCUAAUACCUCAUGUGAUCACCGGUUUUAGAAUCUGGGUGAUUAAAGGUGAAAAUCACUUCGGGAGGGGCCUGCGUCCCAUCAGCUAGUUGGUAAGGUAAUGGCUUACCAAGGCGAUGACGGGUAGGGGACCUGAGAGGGUGGCCCCCCACAAUGGAACUGAAACACGGUCCAUACACCUACGGGUGGCAGCAGUAGGGAAUAUUGCAAAUGGGCGAAAGCCUGAUGUAGCAACGCCGCGUGUGCGAUGAAGGUCUUCGGAUUGUAAAGCACUUUUUGGAGGGAUGAGGAAGGACAGUACCUCCAGAAUAAGCCUCGGCUAACUACGUG